rnacentral:rRNA from 1 species
GACGAACGCUGGCGGCGUGCUUAACACAUGCAAGUCGAACGGUGAACCUCUUCUGAGGGGAUCAGUGGCGAACGGGUGAGUAACACGUGGGCAACCUACCCCCGGCUCUGGGAUAACUCCAAGAAGUUGGGGCUAAUACCGGAUGUUCACCGCUUCCCGCAUGGGUGGUGGUGGAAAGGGUUUCCGGCUGGGGAUGGGCCCGCGGCCUAUCAGCUUGGUGGUUGGGUAGUAGCCUACCAAGGCGACAGCCGGGAGCCGGCCUUGGGAGGUGACCGGCCACCAUGGGCCUGAGGGAGGGAGCAGAGUGGUACUGGGGGCAGUAGUGGGGAAUCUUGUGCAAUGGGGGGAAGUGCGACGAAGAGACGUUGCGUUGGGGAUCAGGGUCUUCGCGUUGUAAAACCCUUUCAGCAGGGACGCCGCGGAAGUGACGGUACCUGAAGAAGAAGCACCGGCCAACUACGUG